ensembl:lncRNA
GGUCAGUUCAGGGCCCAGUGUUAAGCAUUCAACUUUGUGGCAAAUAUUGUCGUUCAAAUUAGCAACAAAUAAAACAUGUUUUUUAAAAAAAUAAACACAAUUCCUCGGGAGAAAAUAACACCCCAAAUCCUUUUUGGGAUCACCUCUUCAGCUACCCUGGUUGGGGGCAGGCUCCGAUUGGGAUGUAGGAGAAACUGACCCAGGAAAACAAAAAUAAAGGAUGUGGACGUGGAUGGGUGAACUGGGAAGACUGAUGAACCGGAAGGAAUUGUGCUGAGAUUUAUUUUUCCACAGUGACUUGAAAGGAUAAAAAGCGGAAGAACACGGCCGCAGAGCCUGAUGGGUCUACCUGGCUACCAAGCAGAGCGGGUCAGCACGGCGGCUUUGAUUACUGGAGACACUACACAUUUCAUGAUCCUCCAAAUGCUGUGAGAGGCAGGAGAAGAAAAGUACAAGGUCUUCAGUCUUGGAGAAAAGUUCCUGACACACAUGACAGAGGAAGGGCAGAGGCUAUUAGGACAACUCAUCUCCUACAAUAUUAAAAACACCCUGGCAGGCUUCACCAGGUCACAAGAAGGACCCGCCGGAGCUGGGAGUGGGAAGAGCAGCUGUGGUGGUGGUUCGCAGACAGUCUUUCUGCAGAAUUGACUAGAAGACAGACAUCGCAUCAGCAAGUGGGGCCAGUAAUGUAGAAGACAGUGUGACAAAACUGAUGGAUCUUCACUGCAAAACUGGAGAGCUGGUACAGGAUUUCUCCGUUCUUUAGUCUGAGCAUAACGACUACCAUGAACUAGACAGACUCUACUGCAGCUUCUCAGAAAGUGCUGCUGUCACCUCCACUUCCAAUCCAAUGUGUUGUAUGGAUGAAUGUGAGCGUUAUUCAGGCACUUUCCCCUAUGUCAUGUCCUUUGAUCUUCAUCACAUUCUACCUCUCAGCUCGUUAUUUCUAAUAACAGGAAACUCAGCCUGGGAACAGUCACCUAGCUAAAUAAAUGAUCAAACCAAGACUUUGGGUUGGCCUUCCUCUUUUUCCCAGCUAAGGGAAGGUUCCCGGGGGUGGACACAUGAUACAAGAGCCCAGGGAAGCAGGUUUCCCCCAUAUUUCUCAUGCCAUUUUCUCCUCAUUGCAGACGUAUGCUGAUUUCACACAACUGGCUAACUUAACAGGUGUUCAAGCGUUUGAGCACCUGGAGUAGAGAUGAAUCUGAGAUGGGGGUUGCUGUAUCAGCCCCAUGCAAUGCACACUGGCUGAUGUCUUGAAGCUCUUUAGAUUAUACUUUUGCAUUUACUUCUACAGUGGAGAAUAAUAGAGUCAGGACAUCAGGGACCUGCACUUUGAUCAUGAAAACAAACUGGCUGGAUCCACCAUAUUGGUAGAAGCCCAGUCAUAUACCUCAGCUGCCCUGAGGUAUAUGUUUGGGUGUGUGCAGGAGUCCAUGAGAAGUGCUGCAAUGAGCGCCUCUCUGAGUAAUCUCUGGGCUUUUAAGAAAUCAUAACAACAUAAGAGCAAUAAUAAAGAUGAAACUCCUCUUACCACAACUGGAGACCUCUGAGGUAAAGGAUUAUUUUCUGGUUAGAAACUUGUGAGAAUACUUUCCUUUUAUGGGAACAAUGGCUAGACCUCCAGCACUCUUAGCUGAGAUCAAGCCAACUCUAGGCCAGGCAUUGUAUUAGGUCCUUUAUUUAUAGCUUUUUUUUUUUUUUUUUUUGGCAUAAAAGGUAUAUUUUCUCCAAAAUCCUAUGUUAGCAUAUUUUUGUGUUGCUAUAAAGGAAUACCAGAGGUUGGGCAAUUUAUAAAAGAAAAGAGGUUUAUUGGGCUCAUGGUUCUGCAGGCUAUACAAGAAGCAUGGUACCUGCUUCUGGCGAGGGCUUCAGGCUGCAUCCACUCAUGGUAGAAGGGGAAGGGGAGCUGAUGUGUGUAGAGGUCACAAGGAAGGAAAGAAGGGCAGGGAGGUGCCAGGCUCUUUCAACAACCAGUUAUCUCGGGAACUAAGAGGGAGAAAUCAUUCCCUAGAGAAUGACACCAAGCCAUUCAUGAGGGAUCCACCCCCGUGACCCAAACACUUCCCACCAGGUCCCACCAGCCCUUUAACAACAGGAAUCAACUUUCAACAGGAGACUUGCAGGGCCAGACAAACCCAUAUCCAAACCAGAGUAGCCCCCUACAAGGAAAGUAUCUCCAAAUUUCCCUGUUUCUAGUGAGCCACAUUACAUAGGGCUUCUACGCACAGGUGACAACUUAAUCAGAGAAGAAAAAAUGAAGUGGAGUUGGAGUUAUACUCAUAACAUUUUAAAGUUUUAUUACUAUAACAAGUUUCAGAAGCAUCUAAGGUGUUAUUAAUACUAACAUUCAAACUUCCAUGUUACAGACUUUAUAAAGAAAUGCGGUGAAGGGGCUGCAGAGUGAUAUUUGGUCUUGUCACCAACCAAGAAAAUGGAAAAGAAGAAAUAUACUGAAAGCUGCUAGAUGCAGCAACCACCACCCCUGGAAGGGAACUGGAAGGGGCCAUGUAUCAAUUAGGGGUUCCUUCAGUAGAGUGUGAGAGAAAACCCAAAAUAGGGGCCAGGCAUGGUGGCUCAUACCUGUAAUCCCUGCACUUUGGGAGGCUGAGGUGGGAGGAUUGCUUGAGUCCAGGAGUUAGAGACCAGCCCUGGCAACAUAGCUAGAUUUCAUCUCUACAAAAAACAAAAAGAAUCAGCUGAGUGUAAU